CUUAGAAGUGAGAACCAAACCCUCGAAGCCUCUUCAUUACUCAACUAAGAACCCUAAACCUUCGCAGCCCUCUCAGCUCGCAGCCCUCUUCAUCAUUGAGAAGUGAGAAUCCCUUCAUCUUUCAGCUCGUAGCCCCCUCUUAACUUGCAACCCUCUAUCCUUCUCUUGCAAUCAUUUAUCCCACUUUUGUAACUCUUGGAAACUUCAAUCGGUGCUGCCUCCGUCGACGAACCCUCCAUCGGCGCGCCCUCCGUUGGCAUUCAGUCUCGCUCGCAAGGCCUCCAUCGGCGCUCGCUCUCUCUCGCUCAAACCUUACCUCCGUCGACGCUGACUCAAUCGUCGCUGCCUCUCCCGCAAUCGGCGUUCCUCCCUCAAUCGGCGCUCAACCCUCAUCGUAACACAAGAAGAACAAGGAAAUGUUGCCGGAGAACUUCAAAGAACAGCUUGCUUUGUCUGUGAGAAGCAUCCAGUGGAGCUAUGCAAUAUUCUGAUCUACUUCAUCUACCCCACCCGGGCUAUAAGGGUUGCUGCCAUGAACUGUAUUGAUGGGCUAAGCAUUGGGGCUCGUAUUGCAUGUUCUGGCAAGAAAAAUGGUACUUAACUGUCAGAACAAUUGGACUUAGCCAUUACUUCUUAAUUAAUAUUACCUUGAUAUUAAGAUUUUCUAAACAGGAAACAAAUGUCUUAAUUGAUGGUUACUAUACUUGUGAAAAUGUUCCUAUAACAAAUGCUUGUUAUGCAUGCUUUAGUUUGUUGAAGGGGUGCAUGGGUAUUAUUAAAACUCAUUCUUCAUCUUAUACAGUAAAAAGAGGUAAAUAAAACUGCAACUGUGAUAAUGGAGAUGCAAUGAUUUCUGAAAUUAUAAAAUCCUCUUUCUUGCAAGAAUUAAACCUUUUGUGUUUGGUCUAUAUGUCUACUUAAUUCAUUAUCAUGCUCCUAAUUUUAUAUUGCAACAGCUGGUUGGCUAAUACAUACAAAUACAUUGCCUUGUAUAAUCCAAUAUUUAAGUUAGUAAAACCAGAAGGCAAUUAACUCGUUGAUAUAUAUAAAAGUUUACAUGGUGAGAUGUGAAUCAUUUAAUGGAGCACCUCAUAUCGAUACUUUUACUUCUACUUCUACUUACUGCUAUUAUUAUUUUUAUUAGUGCACAAAGUGAUGGCAAAUCUGAUCAGGUCAAUUUUUACAUUAUAUAUUCAUGAGGUUGUUUCUUUUUCUGUCUCUCUCUGAGUUUCUUUGUUUUUUGCAUCACCCAUUUUAAUUCUCUUGUUAAUAAACCGAGGUGUGUCUAUGAGCUCUGAACUUGUUUCUUCAAUUGUCUAUUUUCAGGUUAAUUGAUUGUAAACAUUUUGAUUCCUCUGUUUCCUGAGAAUUUGAGCUGUUUCCUGAGAAUUUGAGCAUGGUUUUGAUUCCUCUGUUUGUUUAGCAAAUGUCCUUGAACUGAUCUGAACUUUAAUCUGCAUGGUUUGUUUAGCAAAUGAUUUU